rnacentral:misc_RNA from 1 species
UUGGUGCUGUUGGUGUCUUGUUGCUGCUUUGUUUUUGGAGUUUGCUGUUUCUUUUGGUUUGCUUUGCUGUCCUUGAUGUGCUGUGCUCUUGGAACCUGCAGUCUGUUGCUAAUUAUGAGUCAGUCUAUUGACCUUUGACCAUUUUGCUGGAGCCAUUUUGAUGCUGUUAUGUUCAUUUGGUUUUUAAGAAUUUCUUUUCCUUGACUUAUUGCUGAGAAUCUGUGUUUUGUGGGUCAUUGAUUAAAAAAAAAAAAAA